rnacentral:sRNA from 1 species
UAUGUGGUAUGGUGGCGAGGUAACUCCCAU